UACGUAGGGGGCGAGCGUUGUCCGGAAUCAUUGGGCGUAAAGCGCGUGUAGGCGGUUCGGUAAGUCUGCUGUGAAAGUCCAGGGCUCAACCCUGGGAUGCCGGUGGAUACUGCUGAACUAGAGUGCGGAAGAGGCGAGUGGAAUUCCCGGUGGUAGCGGUGAAAUGCGGCAGAUAUCGGGAGGAACACCGGUGGCGAAGGCGGGGUCUCUGGGCCGUAACUGACGCUGAGGAGCGAAAGCAUGGGGAGCGAACAGG
rnacentral:rRNA from 1 species